rnacentral:rRNA from 1 species
ACACAUGCAAGUCGAGGGGAAACGACAUCGAAAGCUUGCUUUUGAUGGGCGUCGACUGGCGCACGGGUGAGUAACGCGUAUCCAACCUGCCCACCACUUGGGGAUAACCUUGCGAAAGUAAGACUAAUACCCAAUGACGUCUCUAGAAGACAUCUGAAAGAGAUUAAAGAUUUAUCGGUGAUGGAUGGGGAUGCGUCUGAUUAGCUUGUUGGCGGGGUAACGGCCCACCAAGGCGACGAUCAGUAGGGGUUCUGAGAGGAAGGUCCCCCACAUUGGAACUGAGACACGGUCCAAACUCCUACGGGAGGCAGCAGUGAGGAAUAUUGGUCAAUGGGCGAGAGCCUGAACCAGCCAAGUAGCGUGCAGGAUGACGGCCCUAUGGGUUGUAAACUGCUUUUAUAAGGGAAUAAAGUGAGUCUCGUGAGACUUUUUGCAUGUACCUUAUGAAUAAGGACCGGCUAAUUCCGUGCCAGCAGCCGCGGUAAUACGGAAGGUCCGGGCGUUAUCCGGAUUUAUUGGGUUUAAAGGGAGCGUAGGCCGGAGAUUAAGCGUGUUGUGAAAUGUAGACGCUCAACGUCUGCACUGCAGCGCGAACUGGUUUCCUUGAGUACGCACAAAGUGGGCGGAAUUCGUGGUGUAGCGGUGAAAUGCUUAGAUAUCACGAAGAACUCCGAUUGCGAAGGCAGCUCACUGGAGCGCAACUGACGCUGAAGCUCGAAAGUGCGGGUAUCGAACAGGAUUAGAUACCCUGGUAGUCCGCACGGUAAACGAUGGAUGCCCGCUGUUGGUCUGAAUAGGUCAGCGGCCAAGCGAAAGCAUUAAGCAUCCCACCUGGGG